rfam:Rattus norvegicus chromosome 6, whole genome shotgun sequence.
UGGUAAGUGGGAAGAUGGUGAACUGCAGAACAUGUGUGUUUCUCGUGUCGUAUGUCUGCUGACCGUCACCUUUAAGGGUCU